UACGGAGGGUGCAAGCGUUGUCCGGAAUUACUGGGCGUAAAGGGCGCGUAGGCGGAUAUUUAAGUCGGGGGUGAAAGCCCGGGGCUCAACCUCGGAAUUGCCUUCGAUACUGGAUAUCUUGAGUUCGGGAGAGGUGAGUGGAAUGCCGAGUGUAGAGGUGAAAUUCGUAGAUAUUCGGCGGAACACCAGUGGCGAAGGCGACUCACUGGCCCGAUACUGACGCUGAGGCGCGAAAGCGUGGGGAGCAAACAGG
rnacentral:rRNA from 1 species